AAAGGAGCCAUCCUGGUCCCUAUUCAAGGUUGAUAACUAGUUGAAAAGACCAUCUUGGUCUCUCUUGAAGGUUAAUAACUACCUGAAGGAACCAUCCUGGCCCCUCUUCAAGGUUAAUAACUACUUGAAGGAACCAUUUUGAUCCCUCUUCAAAGUUGAUAACUACUUGAAGGAACCAUCUUGGUCCCUAUUCAAGAUUAGUAACUGAAGGACCCAUCUUGGUCCCUCUUCAACGUUGAUAACUACUUGAAAAGGAGCCAUCCUGGUCCCUAUUCAAGGUUGAUAACUACUUGAAAAGACCAUCUUGGUCUCUCUUGAAGGUUAAUAACUACCUGAAGGAACCAUCCUGGCCCCUCUUCAAGGUUAAUAACUACUUGAAGGAACCAUUUUGAUCCCUCUUCAAAGUUGAUAACUACUUGAAGGAACCAUCUUGGUCCCUAUUCAAGAUUAGUAACUGAAGGACCCAUCUUGGUCCCUCUUCAACGUUGAUAACAACUUGAAAAGGAGCCAUCCUGGUCCCUAUUCAAGGUUGAUAACUACUUGAAAAAACCAUCUUGGUAUCACUUCAAGGUUAAUAACCAUCUUGGUAUCACUUCAAGGUUAAUAACUACCUGAAGGAACCAUCCUGGCCCCUCUUCAAGGUUGAUAACUACUUAAAGGAACCAACUUGCUCUCUUCAAAGUUGAUAACUACUUGAAGGAACCAUCUUGGUCCCUCUUCAAGGUCGACGACUACCCGAAGCCCAUCUCGAGGACCACUCGUGGCUGCGCUAGUCAAUGCGGUUUAACGCAACAAGUACAUAGAGGUCGCGACCAAAAGUUAACGCUUUCUACGCCCGAGUGUUCACAGGACGAUGUUCCGCUUCCUGAGGGCGUUCCGUUUUUCGUCGAGCCGCAGGUGCACAGUGCACGCUUCGAAUAAACGCCGCCAGGGCGAGCCAGUGGCUGCCCGUUA